GUCGGAAGUUAACGUUUCUUUUAAAGAAGAUAGUAGCCACGGUCAACGUAUAUUGCCAGAACUUAAAUGAAUAGUGGGAAGACAUUUCAGUGUCCUCUAGCCGCGGGAUAAUGUUAUAAACCAAACCGCAGAGAGGCUGGUACCUGGACAAGAACAGUGUUUCAGGAUCUCAAGCACAUUUCUGAGAGACAUGCCAACCAUAAAAACAGCAGGACAGCUUGGUAAAAUCUGACAGCGCAUACAAACCGGGACUCGAGCACCGUAACAGCAAACUGAGGAGAACAGAGUAAAACUCACCGCUGGAGCGCCGGACGAUGUUUUCCAGAAAGGUGUUCUGCGGAGCCACCAGUCCUCUCUUGCCCCCAUGCAUUAUGAGUCUCACAGCCGCUCCGUGGUCGUG